UACGUAGGGUGCAAGCGUUUGUCCGGAAUUAUUGGGCGUAAAGGGUGCGUAGGUGGCGCCGUAAGUCGGGUGUGAAAUUUCGGAGCUUAACUCCGAAACUGCAUUCGAUACUGCGGUGCUUGAGGACUGGAGAGGAGACUGGAAUUCAUGGUGUAGCAGUGAAAUGCGUAGAGAUCAUGAGGAAGACCAGUGGCGAAGGCGGGUCUCUGGACAGUUCCUGACACUGAGGCACGAAGGCCAGGGGAGCAAACGGG
rnacentral:rRNA from 1 species